UGGGACGCCUGAAAGUUGGCAUACAUCAUGAAGCAAUGGAGAGUUAGGACGGUGGCUACAUUCUAUUAUCCCGAAGGUAUUAACGAAACUUUGGUUUAAAGGAUUAGAUGUGGGUCGGGAUUUCAUUAGUGUGAUGUCUCGGCUCAUGUCCCAUCAUUACACGUUAGACACUUAUCUUCGACGUAUUGGAUUCGCGAAUGGCGGUGCCAGCGCUUGUUACGGCGGUUAUCACGAUAUCGAAUAUGUUGUCUGGGCAUGCUCCGUGUAUUGUUCUACUGGAUCUCAAUUAGUAAAUUCCUUUCAUACCCGUGGAAGUCCCGGUUCGCACGUACUGGCAAGCCGCGAUCCUCUGUCUCUCAUGUACGCAUUCUUUAACAUCACCAAUUUACAGAUUUAUCUGCUCUUUUUCUUUUUUCUUAUCAUUCUUAGAAGUGCCUCCGUCUGUACUGUACGCCUUCGACGGUUUGAUGCGACUUCAUUUUGGGACGAAACUGUCUGUCGAGUGAGUUAACAAACACGGAACCUACAUCACGAACAUCACACACCCAGCUCGUUUAAUUGGACGUCGGUAAGUACCAGAGAUUACAGAGAGAAGAAAAAUAUUAACAUUCCAGCAAACGGGAGAUCAACGGCAUCGAUUACAGACUCGGACUACCUUCAUCAGAAAACAUCAUGUAAAGAGAUGCCCGGUGUCCUCCUCUAAACGGCAGUAGUUGCUCCAGACGAUUGCGUGGUGCGCCUUUUUCGGAGCUCUGACGGAUUUCUGGCAGAAUUCUCUCUCAAAAUCAAAAACCGAUUUAGAGUCCUGGUAGUUAAAGACAAAUGAAGAUAUUUAUUUAUGAAAUGUGAAGAGAUUUGAAAAACACACCUGGUAUGCUUGGUUUGAAGUUACAGAAAUCUAGAGUUCUGCAAACUGU